rnacentral:rRNA from 1 species
CACGUAGGGGGCAAGCGUUGUUCGGAAUUAUUGGGCGUAAAGGGUGCGCAGGCGGCUUGGCAAGUCUGCUGUUAAAUGGUUGAGCUCAACUCAAUCAUGCGGUGGAAACUAUCAAGCUAGAAUCAACGAGGGGAUGCCGGAAUUCCAGGUGUAGGGGUGAAAUCUGUAGAUAUCUGGAAGAACACCAAUGGCGAAGCCAGGCAUCUAGCGACUGAUUGACGCUGAGGCACGAAGGUGCGGGGAGCAAACA